rnacentral:rRNA from 1 species
UUAGAGUUUGAUCCUGGCUCAGGAUGAACGCUAGCGGCAGGCUUAACACAUGCAAGUCGAGGGGCAGCAUGUCCAGCAAUGGAUGAUGGCGACCGGCGGAAGGGUGCGUAACGCGUGAGCAACAUGCUCUAUACAGGGAGAUACACCAGGGAAACUUGGUCUAAUAUCCCAUAGCAUUCAUUGAAGGCAUCUUUAAUGAAUUAAAGCUUCGGUGGUAUAGGAUUGGCUCGCGUGACAUUAGCCAGAUGGUGAGGUAACGGCUCACCAUAGCAAUGAUGUCUAGGGGUUUUGAGAGGAAGGCCCCCCACACUGGGACUGAGACACGGCCCAGACUCCUACGGGAGGCAGCAGUGAGGAAUAUUGGACAAUGGAUGGAAAUCUGAUCCAGCCAUGCCGCGUACAGGAAGACGGCCUUAUGGGUUGUAAACUGCUUUUAUACGGGAGCAAUAAGGGUUACGAGUAAUCCGAUGAGAGUACUGUAUGAAUAAGGAUCGGCUAACUCCGUGCCAGCAGCCGCGGUAAUACGGAGGAUCCGAGCGUUAUCCGGAAUUAUUGGGUUUAAAGGGUGCGUAGGCGGCCAUUUAAGUCAGCGGUGAAAUUUUGCAGCUUAACUGUAACAGUGCCGUUGAUACUGUUUGGCUAGGAUUUGGUUGUAGUGUGCGGAAUGUGUGGUGUAGCGGUGAAAUGCUUAGAUAUCACACAGAACACCGAUUGCGAAGGCAGCACACUAAGUCAUUAUUGACGCUGAGGCACGAAAGUGUGGGGAUCAAACAGGAUUAGAUACCCUGGUAGUCCACACUGU